rnacentral:tRNA from 1 species
GCACCGAAAUAGUUCAGUUGGGAGAGUGUUAGACUGAAGAUCUAAAGUUCCCUGUUUCGAUCCCGGGUUUCUGCU